ensembl:lncRNA
CUCAGGGAAUCAUUUAUUUAGGGUAAAAAUCUCAGUUACUCACAUUGAUUCAGAUACCAAGAAACAGUGUCAGUAUUUAAGCAAUGUUUCAAUCCCACAACCCCCUACCCCAAAGAAAAGAGCUAAAUCAGUUUUUCACAGUUCAGUUUGCAUGUAAUUAUUUUGAUUGAGUUUUUACAUAAUUUUAAAAAUUACAAAACAUAAAAAAAGCAAAGUGCUUUUGGGGACAAGGCAGUUCAAUGCAGAACACUUGGGAAUUUAAGCACACAAUAUACAUAUUAAAUAUAUUUGACAGUUUAGUUACAGAUUGACAAACACAAUGGGAAAGUAGACAAUUCAAAGCCUUGAACAGAUUAAACUCCACAUUCUGCAACUAGAAAAACGAUAAGCUACUGAAUAUUAGCAUAGCACAUUAGAAUACAUAUUAAAGUAUACUCCCCCUUGGAAAAUGGCAGUGAUUAUACAUUGGUGCUGUCACAGAGCACUUGUGGAUACCUUCUGUCCAGCAUCAACCCUGUCCACUGUGAAUUCUAUUUUGUUAUCACCACCGUCUUUCUUGGGCCUGCUCUUCUGAGUUUUCCUGUUUCAACAGUUUCAGGCUCUACCCAUACCUGAUGCCAUCCAUCCAGGAUGCCCACUGUUAAGGUUGGGGGGAGCAAGAGAAUCUGGAAGAAUCUCUUACCUUUCUAAAAUAAGAAAAGGGAUUUAAUUUGAAGGUUGGAGAUGUGACUGUGUACCAGACUGUUUAUCACAUUUUAGGCAACAUGCUUUAUCAGACUGAAAUUGAGAAAGGACCCACAGAGCUAGCUGGCUUCCUUCUUGUUUUAAAAUACCACUGGAAGGCUGAUGGCAAGGAAAGGUCCUUUGUAAGAGGAACCGUGCAGCUGAGCUUUGAUCACAUGAGCUGCAAUUCUUAUGGAUCAGGAAUCCUUCGAGCUGGUAUCAAAUCCAAGUUGUAAGGGAAACUUCCGCCAAGGCCCCCGAGUCUGUGGCUGUCAGGGAGUUACUGUUAGCAAGCGUGUGGACCAAUUAAUACAACACUAAAGGCGGCAAGAACAGCAAACUUGUCUGUCCUUGAAAUGCAAACAUCAUCUCAACUUGACUUCAUUCAUCCUGGUCAAAAGGAAAAGGCACAUUGACUUUCUUCAACACUAGGGAAACUCAAAAUGUUUAUUCAUGAACUCUCAUUUGCCUCCCUUUAGCUUACACCACGUACACGUACACUUUAACAACAGAAGAGUGAGUUUUCGAACUUGAACUAUAGAUACUGGCAUAGCAGGCUGGGUGUAUUUCUGAAGCACUGGUAUAUAUCCAUAUAGACAGAUAGCUAUUCCUCCACAAUCCCGAUGUCUGCUCAGAUCUGAGAGGCAGGCACCCACUGCCUCCUCUUCCUCCCUGAAGGCUCUUCGUACACAGCGGUGUCAGAGGCCAGGCCGCCUCGUCAAGGUGAAAGUGGCCAGGGUUCCCUUCUUCUUUACAAAUACUGUGCUGGGUCUCACUGGGUGGCCUUGUGAGAUCGGACCAGAUCACUUUUAGACAAAAAGAGUCAAAGAGAACUUGGGUUUCCAGAGGAAAAAAAGUGUUGCCCCCUAUAAAUCAUAGUCUCAGUGGAGUAGUGUCUUCCUAAAGAGGUAGAAAUAAUAGGGGGUGUGUGUUGCAGAUGCCCACAUUCAAUAAUACUGAGCACUGUGUCUGUAAGGGCUUAAAAUGGACUGACUCCACUCAGCUCUCUGAUUUUUUCAUAAGUAAGCCAGAACACCAAUGACCAAGGGGUCUGAAAGAUUAACCAAAGAAGUUAGUGCAUAUUUCAAAGCAAUGAUCAAUCAUCUACAUAUAUGCAUUUAUAUCAUUGAGUGACAAAGUCAUUUUGAAUCCACUGAAGCCCAAAACAAAUAUUUUUUCUUUUACCUUUGUACUUUAUAAUUUAAAAAGUGUCUUAAUGUCUCAUUUAUCAUGGAUUUCUCUAAAGGACAGUCUACAAAAGAAAGGAAAAGUAAGAAUAGCCCUACUUUACAGAUGGGCACUGAGGCUUAGCUGUCAAAUAUCUGCUGACAUGGGAUAGAGCUGAACCAGUGGUUCCUGUUCUCCAUCCCAGAGUGGUUUGCACUGGACCAUCCUGCUUAAAGAGAAAAGAAGAAGGAAGAAAUGAAUCCUAACUUUACCAUUCGCAGCCAAGAUGGUAAAAAGCCUUUGUACAGACUCAUGAACCCUUCACCCUGAACAGCCUGGACCAAGCAGUCGGUGGAGGAUUUGUACAAGAGCCCCCUACAGAGGAAACCAGAGAGCUUUGUUAAGUUGUUUCCAUGUAAGCACAGG